UACGUAGGAAGCGAGCGUUGUCCGGAAUCACUGGGCGUAAAGCGCGUGUAGGCGGUACGGCAAGUCUGCUGUGAAAGCGCCCGGCUUAACCGGGCGAGGUCGGCGGAAACUGCUGAACUGGAGGACGGUAGAGGGGGGUGGAAUUCCCGGUGUAGUGGUGAAAUGCGUAGAGAUCGGGAGGAACACCUGUGGCGAAGGCGGCCCCCUGGGCCGGACCUGACGCUGAGACGCGAAGGCGCGGGGAGCGAACGGG
rnacentral:rRNA from 1 species